UCCUUUUUUGUUUACUGUGCAGGCCUGGCAGGAUGCUGGACUUGGGCUGUCCACCACUAGCAACGAAGCCUGUAAACUGUUUGAUGCUGCGCUAAGCCAGUAUGCGACGUGGCGCAACGAUGAGAAUCUAGGAGGUAUUGAAGGGUGUCUUUCCAAG